GUCUGCUUUUUUUUUUGUGUAAUGUAAUUGCAGUUAGUUGUCUGCCACUGCUGCCAGCUUCUGUGUCAGGCUCACAGUGGAUACUGUGCCUAUUUGCCCAGUCAGUGCCACCACUCAUAUCUGGUGUAACAAUAGCUUGCAUUUAAAAACAAAAAACUUUUUUCACUGUUAUAGAUUGAAUGGCAGUCAGUGUCCUUAAAGCGGGUGUGUCAGGCUCACAGUGGAUACUGUGCACAGUGCCACCACUCACUCACUGGUGUCACAAUAGCUUGCAUUUAAAAACAAAAAACUUUUUUCACUGUUAUAGAUUGAAUAUAAAAGUGGCCUCUUUGAGAGAAAUAUUUCCCACAAUCAGAACAAAAAUAAGGUUUCUCUCCU